rnacentral:rRNA from 1 species
AUUGAACGCUAGCGGCAGGCCUAACACAUGCAAGUCGAACGAGUGGCGGACGGGUGAGUAAUGUCUGGGAAACUGCCCGAUGGCGGGGGAUAACUACUGGAAACGGUAGCUAAUACCGCAUACCAUCGGAUGUGCCGAGAUGGGAUUAGCUAGUAGGUGGGGUAAAGGCUCACCAAGGCGACGAUCCCUAGCUGGUCUGAGAGGAUGACCAGCCACACUGGAACUGAGACACGGUCCAGACUCCUACGGGAGGCAGCAGUGGGGAAUAUUGCACAAUGGGCGAAAGCCUGAUGCAGCCAUGCCGCGUGUAUGAAGAAGGCCUUCGGGUUGUAAAGUACUUUCAGCGGGGAGGCGGUACCCGCAGAAGAAGCACCGGCUAACUACGUGCCAGCAGCCGCGGUAAUUC